rnacentral:rRNA from 1 species
ACCAGACUCCUACGGGAGGCAGCAGUGGGGAAUAUUGCAUAAUGGGGGAAACCCUGAUGCAGCAACGCCGCGUGAGUGAAGAAGUAUUUCGGUAUGUAAAGCUCUAUCAGCAGGGAAGAAGAAGGACGGUACCUGACUAAGAAGCCCCGGCUAACUACGUGCCAGCAGCCGCGGUAAUACGUAGGGGGCGAGCGUUAUCCGGAUUUACUGGGUGUAAAGGGAGCGUAGACGGUUAAUCAAGUCUGAAGUGAAAGCCCGCGGCUCAACUGCGGAACGGCUUUGGAAACUGAGUAACUGGAGUGCUGGAGGGGCAGGCGGAAUUCCUGGUGUAGCGGUGAAAUGCGUAGAUAUCAGGAGGAACACCGGUGGCGAAGGCGGCCUGCUGGACAGUAACUGACGUUGAGGCUCGAAAGCGUGGGGAGCAAACAGGAUUAGAUACCCUAGUA